UUUCUAAUAAAUUAAUUUAGAUUACCAUCUUCUCUCCCUUUUGUUUUAUCUCCCAUGCUUUGAAGGUAUUCUACACCAGGAUGAAAUCUUUUUGAUCUAGGGUUCGACACAGAACUUCGCGUGAAUAUGGGCGUCAGUGUUCUCACUGGUUCCGGCAUUGUUGCCUAGCAUCACGCUCCGUCACCAACGAUUACGGUCACCAACGAUUCUCAAUGGGUUCGUCAUCUCGCUCUCUAGACAACAAGGGCAGAUCGUCGGGGGAAUGGUAGCUAGCGGGUUGAUUGCUGCUGCGAGAAUGGUGUUCGUGAUCCUUGCAUCGUUCAACAACCCAAACCUGAGUCAGUUGUAUUUAGGUUCCGAAGUGCAAUGUUAGGCGCGCUAGUUCGCUCGUGGUUCGCUAGUGGCUGGUUCGUGGUGAAGUAGUUGGCUGAUUCGUGGUUCUGUGGUUCAUGCUCUUGUGCUCUGUGACUAUCUAGUGGUAAGGGAUCGAAAUCCUCCUCUGUUUUGUGCGUGCUCUUUGAAAUGGAGAUUUUAGAAAGAUAGUUAUUUUGUGUAGAGUGAAUGGUGCAUGACUGAUUCAUUUCUCUAUUUAGGGAUAGUUAUGCUCGAAUAUUGGUAAAUCAAAAGUAAAAAGUAAUGUGCAUUACUUCUGGAAAAAAAUACGGUUGUAGUUUUUAUUAUUUAAAUUUUAGCUGCAGAUCUUUUCAAGUUGGGAGGGAAAAGAUUUUAAUCCCAUGGAUCAUUUUUGUUAAUUGUAAAUGUACAUAGCUUCCAAUGCUUGAAGUCAAUAUGGUAUUUUUGUGUUCAAGAAUGCCCAUCGAUAUGAUCUUGUUUAGUUAUUCAACUUUUGUUUUUAGCACAUCCAUUGAUUGGAAUUUUAAUGUGACGCAAAGGUAUUGAGGCAAUGAUAUAAUUUGCUUGCAUUCAAGGGAUUGAGUUAUGAUGUUCAGAUUCAUUGUUUUUGAAAUCUAAUUACGCUAGUAGCAUUAUAUGGUAGGACUUUUAUUAGUUUUACUAUUUGACCUAUGAUAUCAAUCUAAACAGGAGUGUGAGUUAACAUUUUACACUCGUUGUAUGAUGAUUUCAAUCUUUUUAAGUAUUUUGCACUCAUUGUAUUGAUGUUCUGCUGCAGGAUUCACUUGUGUUGUAUGCAAAGAUAUAGUUAAGUUUAAUGAGAGUUGCUAGUGAUAGGGUGUUUAUUGGUAGAAAAACUUUUGGAUGUGAUUUGUAAGGAUCUUGAUCAAGGUAGCAUGUCUGGUACUUCCAUGUUGCGGUAUGUGCUACUAUUUUUUAUGUCUUGUUUGAGAGGUUUCAACAAAAACAAGGAAGCCAAAAUCUUAAGGGGUGUGCUACAUUUGUUUACUUUUGUUUGAUUUAGUAUAACUAAUUGAGGCUUACUAUUUCCUAUUUAUAACUGUUAUAAUUUAUAUAAGCAAUUAUCAUUUGAUAGUUUCACAUUUUGUCAUGUGUUUCGGGCUGCAUCAUAGGUUGUUAAGAAAAAUGAAUUACCUUAAUACAACCAGAUCCUCUUUAAGUGAAAAACAGGUUAAGAGGGAGCUUGCUAUUGUGUUCCUGCGGGAGGCACUCAUGAAAGGCAAAUGGUUAUGGUCCUAGAUGUGUUCUUUUGUGUGCCAAAGGUGGAAGGCCUCUGCCUAAACAAGACUUCACUUGUUGCGUUGCCAUAGGAGAUUAAGGACUUGUUUGUUCUUUUCAGGAAUCUUACCCGCAGGCCCUUGAUGGCGAUGCUCAAUCAUGCCCCCAAGUGAAGAUUUAAUGAACGGUGCUUCAGCGUCAGGUAACUUAAGGGCAGCUUUCUCCCAUUGCGUACAGCAAGUGCGAAGUUAUGAUUAUCAUCACUAUCUUUGCCUCCUGGAGCUGCCUCCGUCCAUGCGGAAAGCUGCAUUUGCAUUCUGUGCCUUGAAUGUUGAAACAGCUAGAGCUAUGGAUAUUGCUUCAGAUCCCAGGAUUGGCCUUAUGCGUCUUGUCUGGUGGCAGGAAGCCAUAGACAAAAUGUUUGCCAAUAAAUUGAUUGAACACCCAACAGCACAAGCGUUGUCAUCUGUGAUAGCUGAGACCAGACUCAGCAAGAUAUGGUUGAAACGAUCCGUUGAGGCUCGGAUCAAUGAUGCAAGAAGAGAGGUUACUGACAUGCCAGAAACUAUUGGAGAGUUGGAGAAAUACGCCGAGGACACUGUCUCAACCAUGCUGUACCUGACACUUCAAGCAGGUGGUAUAAAGUCUACUGCAGCUGAUCAUGCAGCCUCACAUAUCGGCAAGGCCAGUGGCAUUCUCUUGCUCCUCAAAUCACUGCCCUACCAUGCAUCUCUUAACCGACAUUUUUGGUACAUCCCAACUGCAAUAGCAUCCAAGCAUGGGCUAAUAGUUAAGCAAGAAAAUGGGGAAGAGAGGUGGGUGGAUUCUCGUGAGGGUCUUUGUGAUGCCGUUUAUGAUAUGGCAUCAGUGGCCAAUGCACACUUAGAAAAGGCUCGGAAGUUAGCUGCAAGUGUGCCUGCUGAGGCUCUUCCAGUGCUCCUUCCAGCAGUGCCUUCUCAGGUUCUUUUGGAUUCCUUAAGAAAGGUCCAAUUUGAUGUGUUUGAUCCUAGACUCACAGGAGGGGUGCUGGGAAUACCACCUUUGUGGUACCAUCUCAAACUCAAGUGGACUUCAUGGAGAAGGAAAUACUAACCUGACCAAGCUUUAGAAUUAGGGACUAACUCAAAUCUAUUUAAACAUGCAAGAAGAUUGAACUCCUGAUUGUAUUGAGGAAGAUUGGUCAGUUUCUAUCCAUGGAACCUAAAAAAUAGAUUCAAGCAAAGUCUCGUUCCGACAAAAUACAUGCAUCAGCUUAUUUCAUAUCAGUAGUUUGUUAAUUACUCUUCUUUGAUGUUGUUAUGUUAUGUUUACUUAAGAAUGGGAUAAUGGAUAACUAGUGAUACUAGUUGGAAUUUUUAGAGAGAGAAAAAGACCACUGUUUUAGUAGAGAAAGAAAAAGAAAAAUUGAUUUUUUUUGUGUUCGAACUAUUUAGCCAAAAGUAGAAAGAAAGAUAUGGGAGGAGAUUCUUAAAAAAGUGUAUCUAUGUUUGGUGGAUGUGAGUACUCCAAAACUAUGAUAUUCUAAAAAUGCCAAAAAGAAAACCUCCUAUGCUUAAAGAUUA